GCUCGAGUGGCGAACGGGUGAGUAACACGUGAGUAACCUGCCCUUGACUUUGGGAUAACUUCAGGAAACUGGGGCUAAUACCGGAUAGGAGCUCCUGCUGCAUGGUGGGGGUUGGAAAGUUUCGGCGGUUGGGGAUGGACUCGCGGCUUAUCAGCUUGUUGGUGGGGUAGUGGCUUACCAAGGCUUUGGCGGGUAGCCGGCCUGAGAGGGUGACCGGCCACAUUGGGACUGAGAUACGGCCCAG
rnacentral:rRNA from 1 species